AAGGACGGGAAACCAUUGACCGUCUUAACUAAGAAGGUGAACGAUUCACCGUCUUAUGUAUGCCCCCCGCUGUCGAUCGGAUUUGCUGCCUAGAUAAGGCGGUAAACGAAUUACCGUCUUUCUUAAAGAGGUAAACGAGUCACCGUCUUCGGCGAAUUGCUGAGAAGGCGGUGAUACGCGGGGAAUUGCUGAGAAAGGAGUGGAGGUUCCACGCCUAGAGAAGACGGUGAACAACUUACCGGCUUCAAGAUUCAGUAAACACGGUGAACGAGUCACCGUCUUAUUUGGGCGGGGGCAACACUGACAAGGCGGCGAAUGCGGCGGAUGGUGUACGCCUAGAUAAGGCGGUGGACGAUUCACCGUCUUUGUCAAGACGGUAAACGAGUCACCGUCUUCUGUUGAAUUGCUGCGUAGGCGCUGAUACGCGGGGAAUUGCUGAGAAGACGAGGGGUCCACACAGAGAAGACGGUUAACGAUUUACCGAUUUACUGUCUUCAGGAGACGGUGAACGAGUCACCGUUUUUAUGAGAAAUGCUGAGGUGGCGGCUGAGAUGGCGAGAGGAGGGUUAGUUUCACAAAUAAAAUUUUCAGAGGGUUAUUUGGCCAAAUAUAAAAUUCUAUAGGGUCAGUUUCAAAAAAAGUCCUAUUUUGGUGUUGAUGU
rnacentral:lncRNA from 1 species